GACGAACGCUGGCGGCGUGCCUAAUACAUGCAAGUAGAACGCACAGUUUAUACCGUAGCUUGCUACACCAUAAACUGUGAGUUGCGAACGGGUGAGUAACGCGUAGGUAACCUGCCUGGUAGCGGGGGAUAACUAUUGGAAACGAUAGCUAAUACCGCAUAAUAUUGAUUAUUGCAUGAUAAUUGAUUGAAAGAUGCUAUUGCAUCACUACCAGAUGGACCUGCGUUGUAUUAGCUAGUAGGUGAGGUAACGGCUCACCUAGGCGACGAUACAUAGCCGACCUGAGAGGGUGAUCGGCCACACUGGGACUGAGACACGGCCCAGACUCCUACGGGAGGCAGCAGUAGGGAAGCUUCGGCAAUGGACGAAAGUCUGACCGAGCAACGCCGCGUGAGUGAAGAAGGUUUUCGGAUCGUAAAGCUCUGUUGUAAGAGAAGAACGGGUGUGAGAGUGGAAAGUUCACACUGUGACGGUAUCUGACCAGAAAGGGACGGCUAACUACGUG
rnacentral:rRNA from 1 species